AUUCUCAUUUAAACAGCACAUAUACUAAAAUUGAAAUUAGCAUGGCCUGUUCAAGAAUGACACAUAUAUUUAUGAAGUGUUCCACAUUAAA
rnacentral:snRNA from 1 species